UAAGAUUUAGGUUAUAUAAACUUUAAAUUUUCAAGAUUUAAGAAACACUAAUGUAGUCUUAG
rnacentral:tRNA from 1 species